UUUUCCCUAAAUUAAUUUCCUCUCUUUUGUUUUUAAAACCAUUUUUAUUAAAUCAGUAAUUAUGUUUAAUUCUAAAUCCAAACCAAUUGCCUAUUUGUUUAUCGUGAUUAUGUCCAGCUAAUUUAUUGAUACUUCAAUGUGAGGACCGUCAUUUGACAGUACUCUAACUGUUGUUUCUUUAGGAUUACAAUUAUGGGUUGUUUUGGUUUCAACACAAUUUUUAUGAACUUAAUCUAAUAUGUUACUAUGAAAGUAGGAUAGUGAUAACGUCACGUAAGA
rnacentral:lncRNA from 1 species